AUGAAAUCUAGGAUUCCUGAGUCAAGCAAAAAUCUUAAAGAACAAGAUGUUGUACCUCUUCAGAUAGUUGUCCCAGUUGAUGUCUCAAAGAAAAUGGCAAAAAGUGAUAAGCUUGUUGAUUAUGUGAAUAUAGACUUCAUGGCUAAUAAAUUUGAUACCUCUCCUACUGAGAAUACUGCUAAAUCUGUUGAAAUCACCAUUGACUCACAUGUUGAACCAUGUGUUGAAACAUAUGGUGAACCAUCUCUGACUUAG